rnacentral:lncRNA from 1 species
AGUACCAGGCAGGCUGUGGAGUAAGGAAGGACCACAGCAGAGUAAAGCAAUGGAGACCGAGGUCUCAGAAACCCUCAGGGAAGUUGGCAUUUUAACUGGUCUUUGAAGACCAGAUGAGGAAACUGAGGCUGAGAGGGUAGAGAACUUUGCCUGAGGUCACUCAGCAGGGACCCACCCAUCACAGUAAAUGCCAGCACUGCUGAUGCCAAAACAAUGUUAUUUGUAGGCCCUCGGAAUUUGUGACCUGAAGGAAGAAGAGCAGGGCCGUGGGAAGUAUGUAACCAGUGUCAUGCCCCUGGUCCCAAGGAAGCAGUGGCUUGUGAGCCCGGUGCCCCCCCGGGCCUCCUCAGUGAGCUGAGGAGGCUCAGCAGUGCCUGCACGUCCCCUCGCCACAAUGUCAUGUGCCACCUCUUCAAAGGAGGGAUGUACCAGCUAGUGGACGUGACCUUGACUGCAAAGGGCGGCACGCAGCUGAUGUAAUGGUCGCUUAAGUGUUCACAAAUGCCUGAACACCCUGUCCUACCUGGUCCUACCUGGAUGCUGGCCUCAGUAAGCUCCUGGGCUCAUUGAAGAUGAACCUAGCAGUAGUAUUUACACCACUUGUUGUGUGCCCACUGUGGGCCCGGCGCCAUGCCGAGUGCUCUAUGGAUGUGAGAGAAACGGAGGCCCAGAAAGCAGAAAUGAUGUGUUAAGAUCACUCAUCAAGCUGAUGGUACAGAGUGCUGGGAGAGAAAAGCAUACGACAUAGACAGGGAGGUCAAGCUCCACCACGCAGAUGAGGUGCAGGCCACCAGUCUUCCUCUGCCACAUCUCUUUCUGAAAAGGCAGCCUGUGCUGAGAAACCAUGACUGAGUAAGCCAAGCUUUGUUGGCCGCACCUGCCAAGCCACAGGGUGCCUCAGGCUUGGAGCAUCCCGGAGCCAGUUACAACCCAAGACUUCAGCCUUCUGGAAGGUGUUGGGUCAGCCACCCUGAAGGACGAUCCUGCCCAAGUGACAUGCUUUGCUCUUCCUUCUCACCCAGGACUUCACAUUCACCCUUGCAAUCCAUGUGGGGACACUGUUGGAUAGGAGGCGUGGUCCCAGCGUGGUCUCCCUGUCUGGGCCUCUGCCUAUGCCAAAUGUUUGCCUUACGCUGCACACUCAAGAGGUUCCAUGUAUACAGAUGGGAAUUCCAGAGCUACAGAAAAGGCAGCAAGCACCAUGAUUUAAGCUAACCAGUGUGGAUUCACACCUUCCUCUCUCUCUAUCAGUGGCAGAACUACCAGCUAGAGUAAGAAGUGGUUGAUCCAGGACCUAAACAUUCUGGAAACUCUUGCCCACUUCUGGGAGAAAUGACCCAAUCCAUAGUACUAAGCACACCUUAACUUUCGUAGGACGCAGGCAAGUUGUCAUACCGUGUGCCUAAAUAUAGAAAAAUGAUCCACUGGACUAAUAAAGUGUUAAAUAAAA